GCUGAAACCAUCUAGAGAUAGUGGACCAAUACACACACAGUUAAAUAAGAUGGACUGUAGGACAGUGCUGCUGCUUUUGACUGCCUGCUGUGCAGGUGUUGAUGGUCAGACUCUGACUCAGUCUGAACCUGUGGUUAAAAUGCCCGGAGAAUCCCACAGACUGACCUGUACAGCAUCUGGAUUCACAUUCAGCAGCCACUGGAUGCACUGGAUCAGGCAGGCUCCUGGAAAAGGACUGGAGUGGAUUGCUUUCAUUUAUACUGAUAGUAGUGGCAUGUUCUACUCUGAUUCAGUCAGAGGCCGGUUUACCAUCUCCAGAGACAACAGCAAACAGCAGCUGUAUCUGCAGAUGAACAGUCUGAAGACUGAAUAUUCUGGUGUUUAUUAUUGUGCUCGAGACUCACAGUGACUGGAGCUUGUUUAGCAGCUGUACAAAUUCCUACAUGAUUCAGGAGAAAUAGUAAUAAUAAAAGUAAUAAACAAG